rnacentral:rRNA from 1 species
UACAGGGGGGGCAAGCGUUGUUCGGAAUUACUGGGCGUAAAGGGCUCGUAGGCGGCCAACUAAGUCCGACGUGAAAUCCCAAAGCUUAACUUUGGAACUGCGUCGGAUACUGGAUGGCUUGAAUUCGGGAGAGGGAUGCAGAAUUCCAGGUGUAGCGGUGAAAUGCGUAGAUAUCUGGAAGAACACCGGUGGCGAAGGCGGUCAACUGGCCCUGAACUGACGCUCAGGCACGAAAGCGUGGGGAUCAAACAGG